rnacentral:sRNA from 1 species
AAGGCAUCUGGAGAACAAAACAGUAAGUUGGUGGACUUGAAGCUGAAGAAGCUCCUAGAAGUUCAGCCACAGGUGGCAAAUUCACCCUCCAGUGCUGCCCAGAAAGCUGUAACUGAGAGCUCAGAGCAGGACAUGAAAAGUGGCACAGAAGAUCUCCGGACUGAACGAUUACAAAAAACAACAGAACGUUUUAGAAAUCCUGUUGUGUUCAGCAAAGAUUCUACAGUCAGAAAAACUCAACUUCAGUCUUUCAGCCAAUAUAUUGAGAAUAGACCAGAGAUGAAAAGGCAGAGAUCAAUACAGGAAGAUACAAAGAAAGGAAAUGAGGAGAAGGCAGCGAUAACUGAAACUCAGAGGAAGCCAUCAGAAGAUGAAGUGCUUAAUGUAUAUUAAUUUUUUGUGUGGUUUCAUGAUUGCUGAUAAUUCCAAACUGUAUGUGGAAAUAGUGCCUUUAUUUGUUAAAAUGAGAUGUUAGGUUUUUAAAGAUGUCAAUCUCCAGUGCAUUCAAAGCAGAGUGAGAGGGGUGCACUGUUGAAUUAGUCUGCAGUGUGGUGAUAAUUGUCAGAUAAAAAAAAUGAAUUUU